GAUGAACGCUAGCUACAGGCUUAACACAUGCAAGUCGAGGGACCGGCGCACGGGUGAGUAACACGUAUCCAACCUGCCCUUUACUUGGGGAUAGCCUUUCGAAAGAAAGAUUAAUACCCGAUGUAAAGGAUGGGGAUGCGUUCCAUUAGGUUGUUGGUGAGGUAACGGCUCACCAAGCCUUCGAUGGAUAGGGGAUCUGAGAGGAAGGUCCCCAAGAUUGGAACAGAGACGCGGUCCAAACUCCUACGGGAAGCGGCAGUGAGGAGUAUUGGUCAAAAGGCGUUAGACUGAACCAGCAAAGUAACGGUAAGGAUCAAGGAUAAUGGAUCAUAAACUUCUUUUAUAUAAGAAGAUGUAUUAUAUGAAUAAGGAGCGGCUAGCUCUGUGCCAGCAGCCGCGGUAAUAC
rnacentral:rRNA from 1 species